rnacentral:lncRNA from 1 species
CAUUUACAACACAGGACGCAGAAUUUUUUUUAAUAUAUUAUGAAAUAAUUUUAUCGCGUAUUUGUAGAGAAUUCAAACUUUCGAUGAUUGAUUUGAUUUGUCAAAAGUAAAAUUAAAAUGAUACUACAAGAUCAAGUAUUUGGUGUAGCAGAUCAGAUCCAUUUUCUUUUGUUACAGAUAGUGAUCUAAUUUAGUAAAUUUAUUUAGGAAUACUAACAUCAGUUGUUAGUAAUAUUAUUAAUCGUUACGAAUGUUGAUAAUAUUGGCAAAGUUGCCAUGACCGUUAACAGAAGGAUAUACCAAGUUGAUUUGGUCAUUGUGUACUGACUGAAUAUGACCAAAUUCAUUAUAUUCGACCCGUGCAUAACCAAUUCUUGAUUUGCUAAUUGUUGCAUGAUGAAA